CAGUCGUACCGACGAGAAAUCAACUUAUAGUGUGCGAACUUGUGGACGUGCGUGAGUUUCGGCCUCGCUGUUUACGUGUUUGUUCGCUUUGGGUGUACUUUUUCGUAUGGUAGGCCAACGUCAGUUUCGAUUAUCAUAAAAUGACCGGCGGAAUGUAGCUUCGAUUUCGGUUGAAGUGUUAUAGCCUCUGGUAGAUGUGGUGAUUGGGACUGAGGAUUGCAACGAAUACCCUUUGGGCUAUCCGUCUGGCCUCUGAAAGUUGCUCAGGUGCCGAAAGCGUGCUUACGGUCAUCUAAGAUAACGUUCAACAGGUUAGAACGUGAUUACAUUCGUUAAGGACGUUGGCGUAAUGGCUUUAAACGA
rnacentral:rRNA from 1 species